rnacentral:rRNA from 1 species
GAAUAUUGGUCAAUGGAUGAGAGUCUGAACCAGCCAUGCCGCGUGCAGGAUGACUGCCCUAUGGGUUGUAAACUGCUUUUAUAUAGGAAGAAACCCUUUUACGUGUAGAAGGUUGACGGUACUAUAAGAAUAAGGACCGGCUAACUCCGUGCCAGCAGCCGCGGUAAUACGGAGGGUCCAAGCGUUAUCCGGAUUUAUUGGGUUUAAAGGGUACGUAGGCGGAGCUUUAAGUCAGUAGUGAAAGCCCAUUGCUUAACAAUGGAACUGCUAUUGAUACUGGAGUUCUUGAAUAUAGUUGAAGUAGGCGGAAUACGGCAUGUAGCGGUGAAAUGCAUAGAUAUGCCGUGGAACACCAAUCGCGAAGGCAGCUUACUAAGCUAUUAUUGACGCUGAUGUACGAAAGCGUGGGGAGCGAACAGG